GAUGAACGCUGGCGGUGUGCCUAAUACAUGCAAGUCGAGCGAACAGACGAGGAGCUUGCUCCUCUGACGUUAGCGGCGGACGGGUGAGUAACACGUGGAUAACCUACCUAUAAGACUGGGAUAACUUCGGGAAACCGGAGCUAAUACCGGAUAAUAUAUUGAACCGCAUGGUUCAAUAGUGAAAGACGGUUUUGCUGUCACUUAUAGAUGGAUCCGCGCCGCAUUAGCUAGUUGGUAAGGUAACGGCUUACCAAGGCAACGAUGCGUAGCCGACCUGAGAGGGUGAUCGGCCACACUGGAACUGAGACACGGUCCAGACUCCUACGGGAGGCAGCAGUAGGGAAUCUUCCGCAAUGGGCGAAAGCUUGACGGAGCAACGCCGCGUGAGUGAUGAAGGUCCUCGGAUCGUAAAACUCUGUUAUUAGGGAAGAACAAAUGUGUAAGUAACUAUGCACGUCUUGACGGUACCUAAUCAGAAAGCCACGGCUAACUACGUG
rnacentral:rRNA from 1 species